CGCCAGCAUUGUUAUAGGCUGUCCGCAUCCACUACUGGAGACGGGACGCUCCUCUCAUCUUCGCGUAAUACAUACAAAUUCCAAUCCAGAAAGAGGGAGGAGUGUUCAUACAAUUAGUGCUCAAAGUUCUGUGGUAUUAUGGAAUACCUUGUAUAUUAUAAGCCUCCAUUUUGGAAAAGGGCGGAAGUCCCAAAAGCCAUGUAAAAAUGUUCAUAAAAGAUAUAAAAG